rnacentral:pre_miRNA from 1 species
UGACUGGGAUGGCUGCAGAGUUUGUGUAAAAAGAAUCUGCACCCAUCUUUGCUGC